rnacentral:rRNA from 1 species
CAAGUCGACGGGAAUCUUCGGAUUCUAGUGGCGGACGGGUGAGUAACGCGUAAGAAUCUAACUUCAGGACGGGGACAACAGUUGGAAACGACUGCUAAUACCCGAUGUGCCGCAAGGUGAAAACUAAUUGGCCUGAAGAAGAGCUUGCGUCUGAUUAGCUAGUUGGUGGGGUAAGAGCCUACCAAGGCGACGAUCAGUAGCUGGUCUGAGAGGAUGAGCAGCCACACUGGGACUGAGACACGGCCCAGACUCCUACGGGAGGCAGCAGUGGGGAAUUUUCCGCAAUGGGCGAAAGCCUGACGGAGCAACGCCGCGUGAGGGAGGAAGGUCUUUGGAUUGUAAACCUCUUUUCUCAAGGAAGAAGUUCUGACGGUACUUGAGGAAUCAGCCUCGGCUAACUCCGUGCCAGCAGCCGCGGUAAUACGGGGGAGGCAAGCGUUAUCCGGAAUUAUUGGGCGUAAAGCGUCCGCAGGUGGUCAGCCAAGUCUGCCGUCAAAUCAGGUUGCUUAACGACCUAAAGGCGGUGGAAACUGGCAGACUAGAGAGCAGUAGGGGUAGCAGGAAUUCCCAGUGUAGCGGUGAAAUGCGUAGAGAUUGGGAAGAACAUCGGUGGCGAAAGCGUGCUACUGGGCUGUAUCUGACACUCAGGGACGAAAGCUAGGGGAGCGAAAGGGAUUAGAUACCCCUGUAGUCCUAGCCGUAAACGAUGGAUACUAGGCGUGGCUUGUAUCGACCCGAGCCGUGCCGAAGCUAACGCGUUAAGUAUCCCGCCUGGGGAGUACGCACGCAAGUGUGAAACUCAAAGGAAUUGACGG